rnacentral:rRNA from 1 species
AACGUAGGAGGCAAGCGUUAUCCGGAGUAACUGGGCGUAAAGGGCGGGUAGGUGGUUGUGUAAGUUGGUUAUGAAAGCUCCUGGCUAAACUGGGAGAGGUUGACCAAGACUGCAGAACUUGAGUGGAGAAGAGGUAAACGGAAUUCCGCGUGUAGUGGUGAAAUGCGUAGAGAUGCGGAAGAACACCAGUGGCGAAGGCGGUUUACUGGUCUCCAACUGACACUGAGCCGCGAAAGCAUGGGUAGCGAACGGGG